rnacentral:rRNA from 1 species
AUUGAACGCUGGCGGCAGGCCUAACACAUGCAAGUCGAACGAGUGGCGGACGGGUGAGUAAUGUCUGGGAAACUGUCUGAUGGAGGGGGAUCACUACUGGAAACGGUAGCUAAUACCGAAUAACAUAAGGUGCGCCCAGAUGGGAUUAGCUUGUUGGGGGGGUAAGGGCUCACCAAGGGGACGAUCCCUAGCGGGUCUGAGAGGAUGACCAGCCACACUGGAACUGAGACACGGUCCAGACUCCUACGGGAGGCAGCAGUGGGGAAUAUUGCACAAGGGGCGCAAGCCUGAUGCAGCCAUGCCGCGUGUAUGAAGAAGGCCUUCGGGUUGUAAAGUACUUUCAGCGGGGAGGCGUUACCCGCAGAAGAAGCACCGGCUAACUCCGUGCCAGCAGCCACGGUAAUUC